rnacentral:rRNA from 1 species
AAUGAACGCUGGCGGCAUGCCUAACACAUGCAAGUCGAGCGGACAGACCAGCAGCUUGCUCCUUUGACGUUCGCGGCUGACGGGUGAGUAACACAUAGAUCACCUACCUAUUAGACUUGGAUAAUCUCGGGGAACCGGAUCCACUACCGGAUCAUAUAUCCAACCGCAUGGUUCAAUAGUUCAUGACGGCUUUGCCGUCACUCUUAGCUGAAUCCGCGCCGCAUUAGCUAGUUGGUAAGGUAACGGCUUACCAAGGCCACGAUGCGUAGCCGACCUGAGAGGGUGAUCGGCCACACUGGAACUGAGACACGGUCCAGACUCCUACGGGAGGCAGAAGUCGGGAAUCUUCCGCAAUGGGCGCAAGCCUGACCCAGCAACGCCGCGUGAGGGAUGAAGGCCUUCGGUGAGUAAAGCUCUGUUCUGAGGGAAGAAAAAAGGUGUAAGAAACCAGGCACGUUCUGACGGUACCCAAACAAAAAGCAACGGCUAACUUCGUG